AGUCGAGCGGUAGCACAGAGAGCUUGCUCUCGGGUGACGAGGGGCGGACGGGUGAGUAAUGUCUGGGAAACUGCCUGAUGGAGGGGGAUAACUACUGGAAACGGUAGCUAAUACCGCAUAACGUCGCAAGACCAAAGUGGGGGACCUUCGGGCCUCAUGCCAUCAGAUGUGCCCAGAUGGGAUUAGCUUGUAGGUGGGGUAACGGCUCACCUAGGCGACGAUCCCUAGCUGGUCUGAGAGGAUGACCAGCCACACUGGAACUGAGACACGGUCCAGACUCCUACGGGAGGCAGCAGUGGGGAAUAUUGCACAAUGGGCGCAAGCCUGAUGCGGCCAUGCCGCGUGUAUGAAGAAGGCCUUCGGGUUGUAAAGUACUUUCAGUGAGGAGGAAGGCGAUAAGGUUAAUAACCUUGUCGAUUGACGUUACUCGCAGAAGAAGCACCGGCUAACUCCGUGCCAGCAGCCGCGGUAAUACGGAGGGUGCAAGCGUUAAUCGGAAUUACUGGGCGUAAAGCGCACGCAGGCGGUCUGUCAAGUCGGAUGUGAAAUCCCCGGGCUCAACCUGGGAACUGCAUCCGAAACUGGCAGGCUAGAGUCUUGUAGAGGGGGGUAGAAUUCCAGGUGUAGCGGUGAAAUGCGUAGAGAUCUGGAGGAAUACC
rnacentral:rRNA from 1 species